GUGCUUGCUUUGGCAGAACAUAUACUAAAAUUGGAACCAUACAGAGAUUAGCAUGCCCCUGCACAAGGAUGACACAUGAACCUCUCCACAGAAAAGAAAAUCAC
rnacentral:snRNA from 1 species